rnacentral:rRNA from 1 species
GACGAACGCUGGCGGCGUGCUUAACACAUGCAAGUCGAACGCUGAAGCUCAGCUUUUGUUGGGUGGAUGAGUGGCGAACGGGUGAGUAACACGUGAGUAACCUGCCUCCUUCUUUGGGAUAACGCCCGGAAACGGGUGCUAAUACUGGAUAUUCACUGGUCUUCGCAUGGGGGUUGGUGGAAAGGGUUUUUCUGGUGGGGGAUGGGCUCGCGGCCUAUCAGCUUGUUGGUGGGGUGAUGGCCUACCAAGGCUUUGACGGGUAGCCGGCCUGAGAGGGUGACCGGUCACAUUGGGACUGAGAUACGGCCCAGACUCCUACGGGAGGCAGCAGUGGGGAAUAUUGCACAAUGGGCGCAAGCCUGAUGCAGCGACGCCGCGUGAGGGAUGGAGGCCUUCGGGUUGUGAACCUCUUUCGCUAAUGGUCAAGCCGCAACAAUGGUUGUGGUGAGGGUAGUGGGUAAAGAAGCGCCGGCUAACUACGUG